rnacentral:rRNA from 1 species
UACGUAGGGGGCAAGCGCUGUCCGGAUUCAUUGGGCGUAAAGAGCUCGUAGGCGGCUUGGCAAGUCGGGUGUGAAACCUCCAGGCUCAACCUGGAGACGCCACCCGAUACUGCCAUGGCUAGAGUCCGGUAGGGGACCACGGAAUUCCUGGUGUAGCGGUGAAAUGCGCAGAUAUCAGGAGGAACACCGGUGGCGAAGGCGGGUCUCUGGGCCGUAACUGACGCUGAGGAGCGAAAGCGUGGGGAGCGAACAGG